rnacentral:rRNA from 1 species
CGCCCUUAGAGUUGUAUCCUGGCUCAGGAUGAACGCUGGCGGUAUGCUUUACACAUGCAAGUCGUACGAGAGUUUUUAACUCAAGUGGCGGACGGGUGAGUAACACGUAAGAAUUUGCCUUUAGGAGGGGGACAACAACUGGAAACGGUUGCUAAUACCCCAUAUGCUUUCGAGUGAAAUGGUUUUUCCGCCUAAAGAGAAGCUUGCGGCUGAUUAGCUUGUUGGUAAGGUAAUGGCUUACCAAGGCGACGAUCAGUAUCUGGUUUGAGAGGACGAUCAGACACACUGGAACUGAGACACGGUCCAGACUCCUACGGGAGGCAGCAGUGGGGAAUUUUCCGCAAUGGGCGAAAGCCUGACGGAGCAAUACCGCGUGAGGGAUGAAUGCCUAUGGGUUGUAAACCUCUUUUUCCAGGGAGGAACAAAAUGACGUGUACCUGAAGAAUAAGCAUCGGCUAACUCCGUGCCAGCAGCCGCGGUAAGACGGAGGAUGCAAGUGUUAUCCGGAAUCACUGGGCGUAAAGCGUCUGUAGGUGGUUUAAUAAGUCAACUGUU